rnacentral:rRNA from 1 species
UACAGAGGGGGCAAGCGUUAUUCGGAAUUAUUGGGCGUAAAGGGCGCGUAGGCGGCCAUUCAAGUGACGGGUGAAAGCCCUCGGCUUAACCGAGGAACUGCCUGUCAGACUGGAUGGCUUGAGACCGGGAGAGGUGAGUGGAAUUCCAAGUGUAGCGGUGAAAUGCGUAGAUAUUGGGAGGAACACCAGUGGCGAAGGCGGCUCACUGGACCGGAACUGACGCUGAGGCGCGAAAGCGUGGGGAGCAAACAGG